rnacentral:rRNA from 1 species
GCGGCCUAUCAGGUAGUAGUGGGUCUAAUGUACCUACUAGCCUACGACGGGUACGGGUUGUGAGAGCAAGAGCCCGGAGAUGGAUUCUGAGACACGAAUCCAGGCCCUACGGGGUGCAGCAGGCGCGAAAACUUUACAAUGCCGGCAACGGCGAUAAGGGAACCUCGAGUGCCAGGUUACAAAUCUGGCUGUCGUGAUGCCUAAAAAGCAUUGCAUAGCAAGGGCCGGGCAAGACCGGUGCCAGCCGCCGCGGUAACACCGGCGGCUCGAGUGGUAACCGUUAUUAUUGGGUCUAAAGGGUCUGUAGCCGGCCGGAUAAGUCUCUUGGGAAAUCCAGCAGCUCAACUGUUGGGCUUUCAGGAGAUACUGUCUGGCUCGAGGCCGGGAGAGGUGAGAGGUACUUCAGGGGUAGGGGUGAAAUCUUGUAAUCCUUGAAGGACCACCAGUGGCGAAGGCGUCUCACCAGAACGGACCUGACGGCAAGGGACGAAAGCUAGGGGCACGAACCGGAUUAGAUACCCGGGUAGUCCUAGCCGUAAACGAUACUCGCUAGGUGUCGGCCACGGUGCGACCGUGGUCGGUGCCGUAGGGAAGCCGUGAAGCGAGCCACCUGGGAAGUACGGCCGCAAGGCUGAAACUUAAAGGAAUUGGCGGGGGAGCACUACAACGGGUGGAGCCUGCGGUUUAAUUGGAUUCAACGCCGGAAAUCUUACCGGGACCGACAGCAAUAUGAAGGCCAGGCUGAAGACUUUGCCGGAUUAGCUGAGAGGUGGUGCAUGGCCGUCGUCAGUUCGUACUGUGAAGCAUCCUGUUAAGUCAGGCAACGAGCGAGACCCACGCCCACAGUUGCCAGCGUACUCUCCGGAGUGACGGGUACACUGUGGGGACCGCCGCUGCUAAAGCGGAGGAAGGAAUGGGCAACGGUAGGUCAGUAUGCCCCGAAUAUCCCGGGCUACACGCAGGCUACAAUGGUUGGUACAAUGGGUAUCUACCCCGAAAGGGGAUGGAAAUCUCCUAAAGCCAAUCUUAGUCCGGAUUGAGGGCUACAACUCGCCCUCAUGAAGCUGGAAUCCGUAGUAAUCGCGUUUCAACAGAACGCGGUGAAUACGUCCCUGCUCCUUGCACACACCGCCCGUCAAACCACCCGAGUAGGGUUUGAAUGAGGGCGCUUCCUCUGGAGGCGUUCGAAUUUGAGCUCUGCAAGGGGGGUUAAGUCGUAACAAGGUA